AAGACUAUACAUUCGGAUCAUUUCUAUAGUUUGUUACUAGAGAAGUUUCUCUGAUCUUGUAGAGCACCCAAAACCAUGAGGAGUCAGAAAAUCCUCUCCUAAGCAAGAAGCCAGUUCUAGAUGUUACUUCUGCAACUGCCUUUUGCCAUUGAUGAUCAUCCUUCCCUUCCUCUGGAAAGGUUAGAGGGAGAGGAUGCAGUCAGAAUGGG